GGAAUACUAUCUCUAAACUUGCAUCUUCAUUAUGAGAUCUAUUUCAGUGCUAUUGUUACUCCUGGGAAGAUCGUAGAUCCGUUUAUUUUGUGUGAGAGUGAUACUGAUGGUGAGAUGAUACUAGUCUUCCCUACACACCUCCCUGAUUUAUUGUGUAUUUGAGAAUAUCUCACUGCUUGCUGAUGAAAUUUGAGAAUAAUUUGCAUCCAUGUUAAACAAUAUGAAUCUUUGUCCACCCUUUCAGUUAAUUUAUUUUCUGAAACACAGGUAGUUUCCAGAAACAGAGUAAUAGUGAGAGGGUGGACUUUGAGAAUACUAAUUGUUAGAAGUUCUGUUUUUCAGAAAGGGUCUAGUUUGCUAAUAACUGUGACUGAGUUUCAUGAAGAAUAGAUUCAAAUGUUGGUUGAUUUACCUGAACAUGUCUUGGAAAAAAAAAAAAGGGGUGUAAUGUUUGAGCACUGGAGGAGCAAGAGAAGUAACUUUAUAGUUAGAGACGUUAGUUCCAUACAGAAGCAGCAGUAUGUGUUCUCAGUCACUGUGGAAAUUAUUCCUUUGUUUUCAGUUAUCAUAUCCUUGGCAUGGUAAAGCCUCUUCAGCCCCUACAAGGUCAUUUGAUUUGAUUGUCAGGCCUAGCACACUACAAAGGCAUUUGAUUUGAUUAUCAGACCUGUGUAGGUGCCUCUUUGAAAAUUUAAAUAUACUGUGAAUAGAAUAGAAACAUGUUUAUCCCACUUUCCCACUUAAUUUGUAUACUGUCCAGUGAAACACAGAACUGAAAAACCAAUGCAGUAAGCCUCCAUGUUCUUUUGUUCUAUUAAUACCACUGUGGUUGAAUAUCUUGAAAUUUUUGACCAUGCCAACAUGCCUGAUAUAAAUAGCUGUGCAAAUAGAGCUCAGCUGAGAUUACCAAACUUGGUGUUUUGCAUUUUUGAUCCAACUUGAAUGGGGAUGUCUGAAAGCAAGAUAGAAAUUAUCCCCUGUGGCACUAAUCUGGCAUGACAACUGAGAAAUUAAAGACCUUGUUUUCAGGAUUUUCUGCCUGACUGCCAUAUCACCAGUAGGCCUUUGCCUAAAGAUCCUGAUCUCAUGCUAGGACAGUGUCUGCUGUUCCUUCCUACAGAAAGAGCAUGAAAUAAGUGGAUGGAACACGGAAGUUCAGAUAUACUUCAUCUUAGUUCUUAGCUCAUUAUCUUUUCUACUUCCUUAUCAAAACAGCCUCCCUCUUCUAUUAUUCCUUUUUCCUUCAGGCAGCCCCCUUAACCUGAAUGUUUCCUCAAACAGGGCCCUUUGUAGACUGUCAAAGCUGAACUGUAAAAUGUUUUUAAAAAGUCUAUUUCAAAGUGUGAACCAGUUAUCUGACUUAGGAAGAGGAUUUUUUGCUGGGAAGCAUUGGAUGUUAAUGUCGGAGUUAAUAGCUCUACCUUUAGGAGCCUUGCAAUAUCUUCAAGAAAUUUCUAUGCAGGUAGGAUGUGUACAUGUAGUAAAGGAAGCUAGAGGUGUGGAAUUCACAGAAGGUAAUUUAAUUUCAGUAGAGUGGGUAGGCCUGUAGAUAGGAGAUGGAAGACUGCAAGAGUUGUAGCAAGUGCAUUUCUUAAAAUAGAGAUAUUCUCAGGAUUUAUCUUAUAGUAAAUGAAAAUAAAGACUAUAGCCCAUAUCUCCUGUCUACCAUCAAAAUAUUAGAAGCGUAAUUUGAGAACAAGUCUUAAGGAGUUUUCAUUUAUGUAAUAUAUGGUUGGGAUUAAUGAGUUAUAGUCAAAUUAUUAUGCGGGAGAGAGAAAGGAAGAAGCAGUACUUAACUUGUAGUCAGUUUACUGCUAGGGGUAACACGCAAGCUGUUGGAAAAAACAACAACAAAAGCCAACAAAAACAACACCACUACCAACAAAACCACCUCUUGGGAGUUGUUGGAAUAGUUAUGUAGGUGAAAGUUCUUGACAGAAUGCUGGUGUUCUCUGAGUCUGACAGUAUUGUGUUAUAUGAAAAUAAAUCAUCCGUUUUUCCAGGACUUUCAAAGAUGUUAACACUCUGCAUCAGCUCUGUAUCUGUACAGAGACAUUACCUACCCAGACCAGAUCAAAGUUGGAAUAUAUACAUCUUGGAAUUUUUUUGUUGUUGUUUUCCUCACUCAAGGUGUUUUAAAUGUCAUUUUUUAAUGUGUACAAGAGCACAACUUCGUUGAAUGUUUUGGUUUUUUAGUGCUUUUGUGUACCUAGUCUAUACUAUUUUUUCCUUUUCCUCCCCUACAAUACAGGUGUGAAGAUCUAACUCAGCUCAACUAAUGACCCGUGAGUGCCACAUGUUGUCUCUGCAUAUGAUUUUUUAAAAAGAAUAGAAAAUGUAUACUACUUUUCUGUUAACUUUCAGAAAGGUUCUCUUCCCAGCAAAUGGAUAACUGUUUUCCUUUUUAAUCCAGCCAUCAUUUGGAAAUCUAGGUUGCGCUUCACAAGUGAAGUACAAACAGAGGGUCUAAAAAGGUGUCAGCUCUCUGUGGUUGGUGGAUCCUUCUGUACUUUUAUUCCUGUUAUGACCUUGUGAGAACAAAUAUGUACAUAUAUCUUCAUAUUAGGGCAGCUGUGGUACAGAAAGUACGAAAAAGCUGCUCUGAAUGGUGAAGGCUUAUUUAGCAAACUGGUCUUUAGAGGUACAUCAGUAAAAUGUACCUUGAUCAAUGACAAUAGUAACAGUACACAUUUUUCUACUGCUGUCUUAAUCUUGUCUGUGCUCAGCUGAUUUUAUUUCCGGAAAUCAUUAAUUGUGAGACCUCAUGCUUUGCUAAAUACGUUACAAGGUUCUCUCCAUUUAAUCAGGCAUUUAUAAUUAUUAUGAUGAUAAUUAUAAUGAAUGGCUUUUCAGUAGCUGUCUGCUGCUGUAUUUUGGGCUUUCAUACACCUUUUGUAAUUAAAUAGAUUGCUUUCUUUAGAAUACUGUUAUAUAGCAAUUAUAUUGCUUCUCUAAGGCCUACAAGAUGAGAGUUGAUUAUCAAUACCUGAUCAAACAAUUUUUUUCAUGGCCAAGUGUUUGCAGGCCAGUCUCAUUAAUCAAGAAGUUUGCUGCUUAUGAAAACACGGCCAUCUUUACACACCUUAUUUAGGAAAUUAAUGUAAGCGUUUAGUUUUACUAUUUUAAUUUUCUUCCAGAUGCUGUUCCUCAAAUUGCAGGGCAGCUGAAGGAAUAAGAGCCUUAAUUCAGUGUUACAAUACUGUCUAUUCAAAUAAGUUGAGAAGCACUGAAGCAAGAAAACUUAAAACUUAAUAUGAUGUAAAAGUGUACUACAAACUUACUUGAACAGCAUCUUGUUCUUCAGAUAAAUAUUAGGCAAAGAAUCUAUAAAACUGGAGGCAGCAGUCAGCUAAGGCUAACAAGAUUUUAGGCUUGCGGCGACAGGAUCAGCAGCAUUUCAUGCCAUUUUAGGCAUUACUACAUGCUUUGCUUCAACCUUUUGUCAGUUCCUUCCACAACAGAAUCCUGCUGCUGUAUCCAAAUCCCUGGUUAUUCCAUGAGAAGUGUUUGACAUGGAUUUUGUUGAAGAUUUUGAUGUACACUUUCAGGAUUAUUUAUUCCAAAAGGUUUUAUAGUGCCGUGCAGAAGAUGAACAUUUCAAGUUCUUGAACUUUAAAAUAUUUGUACUUCCUCAGAAGUCUCCAGUCACUGACACAGUUUUUAAUACUUAGUGAACAGAAUGAAACAGGCUGCAUGUCUUUCAAGCUCCAAGUACAGUGGAGGAGGAAAUAAAUAGUGAAGGGAGUUUUUGUGGUAGUGUUUUACUCUCAGUUCUUGAUUAGUGUAUGUCUGCUGUCAUAGUUGCUGCCUAGGAGCUGGAAUGAGCACCUCUUAGAAGCAGUUCCAGUGUCUGAUCCAGCUGCUACUGAAGUCCAUCGCAAAAUUGCUACUUAUCUCAAACACAACCUUGAUCAGUCCUAACGCAAUAAUCUGGAAGGAAAACUCAGUGUUCCAGAUACAUCAAAAACACUUGAGGAUUAACAGGAUGUGCUUUUAAUCCUCCUUCAGUAGCUCAUUGAAAUAGAUGGCUGGGACUAUGACUGUAAUUUUUACUUUCAUUCUGGAACACUUGCCUGACAGAAAAUCCCCUGUCAGGCCAAGAACAUAUAAGAUUUUCAACUGUGGGUCCAGUAUGAUUGAUUGUAACCAUCCAUCUCAGAGACAUUUGACGGAGAUUACUGAAUAAAACCAACAGUGUGGGUAUUGAUUCUGUAUUGCAGUCUGAAUGAUUGAAGGUGUAAAUGUGCCCUGAUUCAGCAGAUGAGGAUUGGCAAAUGCAGGCAGGUAACAUUUUGCUCCAAAAACAUUUUUGUGAUUCCAAAUCUCUUGUGAUUUUAAAACAAAUACUGUUGAAUGAGAUUUUGAGCUUCAUAGUCCUUGAUGCUUACAUGAAAAGUAUUUUAUUCUUCCUAGAUGCUGCUGGAGCUUCAUUUGGUGUUUUUUUUAAAAAGGGCUCCUCUUUGCUAAAUUUCCUCUUAAGUAUAUGUAGGUUGCUCUGAAAGUAAUGCCUCCUCUUUAUUUCCAUGAAAACUGCUACAGCUACAAAGAGCACUGUGACACUGUUUGAUAGAGAAAAUUCUCAGCUACAGAACGUUUUUUUAACAUACUUUUGGAGCAGUCCUUGUGUAUUUCAUAUUCUGUAAUUCUGCAGAUAUCAAUAAAAUCAUAGUACUAUCAUAUUUUUCAUGCUAUUUAUGCCUGCAGGGUGCUGAGCAAUGGCAAGGCACUAACUUCCAUUACAGCUAUUGCUAAUUAAUCUGAAUAAAUUUGAGAAGCAUGCUAUAGUUUAAAUCCAGAAAGCUCAGCAUGAAAUAUACAAAGUGUCUUGCUUUUAUAGCUCAAAUGAUGUCUGUAAUGAUUUGAAGUUCUUAGCAACAUGUAAAACAUUUUAUCAUUUUAUCUUUUCAUCUAUUAGUAAAAUAUGCCCUACUUAUAAGAAGAGUCUUAGAACUUUCAUUCUCCCAUGGUACUUUUAAUGGCUAUAUACUUCCUUGGAAAUAGAUAGAUCACUACUCAUUUCUUACUGCUGCUACUUCAAUUUUUGCCACUAGAGUUUUUAUUCAGCUUCCAGACUCUUUACCAUUCUUCUUUUCUACCCUUGCUCAUUUGCUGAGUAGAGUGGGAGUCAGACGUUAUCCUGAUAGCUUCUGUUGGAAAUGCUGCCAGUUGUGAAAUGGAUACACUUUUCACUCAUUGUUUGUGCGAAUUUUUCUAAUCCAUCCACCGACUGCACAUCCUGGCCUUUAUUAGCUGCUAUUUUCCUUCUUGAAGCACCAAGGUAAAGGAUGGUAAAAGGAUUUCCUGUCUCUGGGCUACAGCUUGGUUUCACAAUUCAAGUGCAGAUCUACAAACAAUAAGAAACAACACCCUUCUGUGCGAGGCAAUUGUAAGGCAGCCAUGGCAGUUCAAAUGCUGGGGAGAACUGUUCUAUGGUACAAGAAGGAGCAGCAUUCUGGCAGCUCUUGCUGAAGCACUGGGAAAGUGACCUUAUAAACAGAGCUGGUAUCCUCCUCUCUGUUCACUGCCUGAGGAGUUGGAGGUGCUGAAAAACAAAGGAGGCAAACUAUCCUGUCAGUAAUCUGCUUUGCUGGACCCUGGAAACAUUCCUCUUCCAGUGCAUUGAUCAGGGAGUACAUCAGAAGCUUUCAAAAGUAAUAAAGACUCUAAGGAGACAAGAACAUGAAAAACCAAGCAAACUAUAAUUCUCCAAGACCUAAAAAAGAAGACUCAUAGCUCCUCCUUCAUGUUACUAAUUUCAUACAGCAUAAUGAAAAAAAGAGACUAACAGCUUUGAGCCUUGCCAAGAUGGAUGGUUCAGAUAGUGGUAAUUUCUUAGUUUAGGGGGAGAAGUGUAAAUUUUUAGGCUUGGCCACUGCCAUGUUCCAUCCACGCUGCAGUUUGGAAUGAGCUCACAAUGUUCAGCUGACAACAGAAGAAAAAGUAACAGAAUGUCUCAGAAAAUGGCUAUUCAUGUCCAAAUACAAAAUGCAACUUUUUGGAAGGACUUUCCUAUAAUUAAACAGGAGCUUAAUUUUGGGCUGGCUUUUGUAUUUGCUCAAAAUUGAAGCUUUUCCUCUUUUAUGAGAUCUUCACUGUCAUUGUAUUUUUACGUGAACACUUGUUUGUACAAGUGAUAUGUACUGAGUACAGGACAUAUACUUAACAACAGACAUGCAGUUUAUAUUGUAUUUUGUAGGUUCAGGAUGAGCACUACUAAGGAAAAAUGCAGCAUGUUAUUGAACUCUGGGGAGAUCAUGAUAGGCAUACAAAUAUGUGCUCUUAUAAUUAUGCUUCCUUAACCUCUGUCAAUUUGCAAUGGACAUUUUAAAUUCAAUGUGGAAUCAAGUUUACUCAUUUGUUCAUGUUUUCUUGUCACAGCUGGAAUCUCCACUGGCAUUGAUUUUACACUGCUUCUAUUUCAUUCACUUCAGUGGUAUUCAUAAGAUAGAAGAUGAUGCAAUCGUUUUAGUUUUACACCACACGGAAUAACAUGCCUUCAGACAAGACUGGUAUCUGGCUAAUGGCGACUUCAAAGUCUUACAUGCUGUAACAAACAACGUCAG
rnacentral:lncRNA from 1 species